GGGCUUGACAUCCCACGAACCUGCCUGAAAGGGCGGGGUGCCCGCAAGGGAGCGUGGAGACAGGUGGUGCAUGGCUGUCGUCAGCUCGUGUCGUGAGAUGUUGGGUUAAGUCCCGCAACGAGCGCAACCCUCACCCCUAGUUGCCACCGGGUAAAGCCGAGCACUCGAGGGGAACUGCCAGCGUCAAGCUGGAGGAAGGCGGGGAUGACGUCAAGUCAUCAUGCCCCUUACGCCCUGGGCUACACACGUGCUACAAUGGCCAGUACAAAGGGAUGCGAGACCGCAAGGUGGAGCUAAUCCCAGAAAGCUGGUCUAAGUUCGGAUUGCAGUCUGCAACUCGACUGCAUGAAGUAGGAAUCGCUAGUAAUCGCGUAUCAGCACGGCGCGGUGAAUACGUUCCCGGGCCUUGUACACACCGCCCGUCACACCACGAAAGCUGUCUGUACUCGAAGUCGCUGAGA
rnacentral:rRNA from 1 species